rnacentral:rRNA from 1 species
AUACAGAGGGUGCGAGCGUUAAUCGGAAUUACUGGGCGUAAAGCGCGCGUAGGCGGCUUGGUCAGUCGGAUGUGAAAGCCCCGGGCUCAACCUGGGAAUGGCAUUCGAUACUGCCAGGCUAGAGUAUGGGAGAGGGAAGUGGAAUUUCCGGUGUAGCGGUGAAAUGCGUAGAUAUCAGAAAGAACACCAGUGGCGAAGGCGACUUCCUGGCCCAAUACUGACGCUGAGGUGCGAAAGCGUGGGGAGCGAACAGGAUUAGAAACCCUAGUAGUCC